CGGUCCGUAUUAUAAGUCAAAUUCUCCCUAUCCCCAUCCUAUACCCGAAUGAGCAAACGCGAAGAGGACAAUAAAAGAAACCUUCCCCUCCCCAUCCUUAUAACCGAAGGAGCAAACGCGAAGAGGACAACAAAAGAAACCCUUCCCCUCCCCAUCCUUAUAAUCGAACAAGCAAACGCAAAGAGGACAACACAGGAAACCAUUUUUGCCGUCGUUUCGUCUUCGGUGCGGAUCCUCUGUUCUCGCAUGGAUUUAGCUUUCUCCGGAUAAGAGAUCUCUGAUGGUGUACAUUUUGUAAGGAACGAUCCAGUUCUGGGCCUCUAAUUAGCAGUUUGCUUGCCGUUAGUUCGACGAGAUCGAACUCGGGACAAGGAGUCAUCUUCUACUUUUUAACCUUCUCGAGCAUGCCCGCAGAUUUGGUUUCACGCCUACCCGAUUGACAAAGUCGCUCGCCCUUUCCGGUUUGGUUCACGUUUCGAUCGUUUCUCUUUAUAAGAAGGCGAAAAGAGAAGCGGGAGUGGUUUGGUAUACUCUUUUUGUCCCCAUUUGUUUGUCUUUUUUUUUUUUUUUGCCUUAGAUCUUCUUGAAUUUCAUUUAGUAUUAUAUUCUACUUUGUAAUUUUUUCUUUCUUUAUAUUCUUUUUUGUAGUUUCUGUGAUUGUUUUGAUAUCCGAUAUCUAAUUUUGCAUCAGAGUCAAGAUCUGUUAUUAUUGUGCUUCAUUUCCUCUUCUUAUGUUUUCAAGCUAUAUGUGCCUUGUGUUGUUUUGUUAGGUAGAAAAAUUGUAGAUCACAGUUUACUGGAAUUCUUGGUUUCUUCAAUCUGUACCCCUCACUGCAUUGCCUAAAUCUGGCACAACUCAUGCCUGUAUCUCCAAGCCCAACCCUUUUGAUUCAGAUUCUGAACCCGAAAUGAAUCCUAAACCUGGAAGAUCUUCCUCAGGCCCUGUAAUUGGAGGGAUUACAGAACCAAUCUGUGUAGGAAUUAGAAAAUUAUGCUGCAUACAAGGCUGAAGAAACAACACACAAAGUAAAUGAUUGUCUCAAGAUUGCUCAAGUCAUAAGGGAAGAUGCCUCAGACACACUUGUGAUGCUGCACCAGCAAGGAGAGCAGAUUACACGUACUCAUGAAACCACUGUUAGUAUUGAUCAUGACCUCAGUCGGGUGUAGCUUCCCUUCCCUGACAUGCUUUCCUUGCAGGGUGAGAAAUUUUGGGAAGCCAAAGAAAACUCACCAGAUAAAGGGCCCAGUUUUUACAACAGGUAUGUACAACAUAUACAUGAAUUAGUAACACUUUCUGAUGUUGGUUGAUGUCUGUGCUUGAUUUGGCACUCCUAUACUUGAUGAUUCCUAUGAAAGAAAGGCAAACCACAUGGAUCAAAGAGAAAAGUCAAAUCCACGGCAUUAUUCUGAACCCACAUCUGCAAUAUUGAGAAGGCAAAACAAGAUGACACCCUUUCAGACUUGAGUGAUGUCUUGGGGCAGCUGAAAGGCAUGGCCCUUGACAUGAGUACAGAGAUGGACAGGCAAAACAAGGCUCUGGAUGCCUGCCUUGCAUAAUGAUGUGGAAGAGCUGAAUUCCCGAGUGAAAGGACCCAACCGACGCACUCGCCGGUUACUCGGCAAAUAGGGGCUGCAGAUGUUCAAUCAUUCAGGAUAGCAGAUAAGCAAGUUCUUAUAUUAGAUUUUUUUUACCCACUUCUAUUUCCAUUAUAUGGCCACUUUUCAGCUUUUGCACAUGAAUUAUUACAUUCUUCCUGUUUAUUAUUACUGAUUCUGUUGUAACACUUGAUUACCUUUGUACGUGUUUCCCUGCUUCGGUUC